rnacentral:rRNA from 1 species
GCUAGUAAUCGUAGGUCAGCAUACUACGGUGAAUACGUUCCCGGGCCUUGUACACACCGCCCGUCAAACCAUGAGAGUUGGCAACACCCGAAGUCGGGAGUCUAACCGCAAGGAGGACGCCGCCGAAGGUGGGGCUGAUGAUUAGGGUUAAGUCGUAACAAGGUAGC